rnacentral:rRNA from 1 species
UACGGAGGGGGCUAGCGUUGUUCGGAAUUACUGGGCGUAAAGCGCACGUAGGCGGCUUUGUAAGUUAGAGGUGAAAGCCCGGAGCUCAACUCCGGAAUUGCCUUUAAGACUGCAUCGCUAGAAUUGUGGAGAGGUAAGUGGAAUUCCCAGUGUAGAGGUGAAAUUCGUAGAUAUUGGGAAGAACACCGGUGGCGAAGGCGGCUCACUGGCUCAUUACUGACGCUCAGGCGCGACAGCGUGGGGAUCAAACAGG